CGGACCAGUGACUCGGCCGCGCCCGACGCCAAAGACAAAGAACCGGGGAAAGAACCAAACCCACCCCACCCAGCCCGUCACGCACCGAACCCCUGUUCACUCGGUCGGGUGAUCGCGUCCAAUUCGGCUGGCGCGUCGGUGGAUUGAUCGGGCAGCGUCGGCUCCGACAGACAACCGCACACAGCAAACGGCCCCCGCCGGGACUGGCAUCCCGAACGAGGGCCUCAUCACCCAGGAAGACAGGACCUUCCCG
rnacentral:ncRNA from 1 species